AUACCCUGAUCAUUCCCCUUUGUAUUUCAUUGCCAUGUAAUGGGAUGUUCUUUAAAUUCUCUGUUGAAUGAAUGAGACUAGGUCUGAGUGUACAACAAUUAAAGUGACAUCAACAUUCUUUAAACCAGAGUUGUUUUGGAGAAAUUCCCAGAGAGGCUUUCUUAAGACAUGAGGCUAGGGAACUAGAUGUGAUUUAGUAUAGAAGUCCUAUCCCCUUGGAACCAAAGCAGAACCUAUUAUUCACCUAAGGGUGGAGUCGACAGGAGUUGGAAAUCUUAUUACUAGAAAUAAAGGUGAGAAUAAGAUGGAAGUGAUCCCCUUACCACCUCAGAGAGAAUAAAGGAUUAUACAGAA
rnacentral:lncRNA from 1 species